ACCUACGGGGGGCAGCAGUGGGGAAUAUUGGACAAUGGGGGCAACCCUGAUCCAGCCAUGCCGCGUGUGUGAAGAAGGCCUUCGGGUUGUAAAGCACUUUUGUCCGGAAAGAAAUCUUCCAGGUUAAUAACCUGGGAGGAUGACGGUACCGGAAGAAUAAGCACCGGCUAACUUCGUGCCAGCAGCCGCGGUAAUACGAAGGGUGCAAGCGUUACUCGGAAUUACUGGGCGUAAAGCGUGCGUAGGCGGUUCGUUAAGUCUGACGUGAAAUCCCCGGGCUCAACCUGGGACGUGCGUUGGAAACUGGCGAUCUAGAGUACGGUAGAGGGUGGUGGAAUUCCCGGUGUAGCAGUGAAAUGCGUAGAGAUCGGGAGGAACACUCGUGGCGAAGGCGGCCACCUGGACCAGUACUGACGCUGAGGCACGAAAGCGUGGGGAGCAAACAGGAUUAGAUACCCCGGUAGUCC
rnacentral:rRNA from 1 species